AACAGAAUAAACUGGGGUAUCGCAGUCAGUGAACCCCUCAUAGCAUACACCCCGACACAUGGAGGAUCUAGAACAGAAUAAUAGAACUCCCCAUAUUCUUCAUAAAGGUCCCCAUUGGCUGCCGAGUGAUUGCUGCUACUCUGGAUACACAUGUACCAGCAGGGUGAAAGCAGAACAUACACGGCAGCCUGUCCUAGGUUAUGGCCGAGAGCCGUUCCACUAGACGUUUUGGUGUAACGCCACAGUCACAGUAGUUAUGUCUUUAACUACACAAUCCUAGUGCUUUACCUUGGCGUUGGCCGUUCCUUUUUUACAGUGCUCUGACUUUCAGCCAUUGGUUUUAUUCAGUAAAUGCAAGUCGCUAUUUUUUAAAUAAAUGUCUUCAUACAAUUCAA